ensembl:snoRNA
CUGGCUCUGAGUCAAGGCCUGCAGCUUCCUGACGCUGUUGGUUUCAAGCAGGAGCCUAAAGAGAUGUCUUUCUAUGGUCUGUUGGCCAUUUCAGAACUUGGGCAGUGAAAUGGUCAAUUUAUUAGAAAGAAACAGCU